rfam:Stegodyphus mimosarum contig109162, whole genome shotgun sequence.
GCCUUCGUGGUGUAAUGGUCAGCACACUGAGCCGGUAUUUCUGAGGUCCGUGGUUCGAUUCCCGGCGAAGGAA